GGUUCAUCCAUAUGGCUCCAAAUGAAAAUUACAUUACUUUGUUAUGGAUGAAGAAUAUUGCGUUGUGCAGAUAUACUGCAGUUUCCUCAUCCCCUCAUCUGUGGAUGGACAGGUUCCACAGUGUUGCCACGGAUGACCUGAUUUCAGUACCCGUGUCUGGAUGAAGAGUAUCUGGUUGUGACUGGAUACUGCAGUUUCUGGAUCUCAUCCUCUGUGGGUGGACAGGAUAGUAGAGAGCAGUUUGCAGCCUGAGACCCAUCACUAGCAAUUAAAGCCUCAUCUUCAGGCCUGAUAGAAGACGCCAAUUUAAAUAAACUGCUGCAUUCCUGAGACACAGGGCGGCAAGAAAUGAAAGCUAUUCAACUCCUCAAGACCCAGGGACUAUUGUAAAACAGGUGGGAGCAUAAGAUUGUAAGGGCCGAUUUUGAAAGAUAAAGUUGGUUCAGUUUCUCUAUACAUUAAUUAUUAAUGUCAAAGGCACACUGAUGCAAAACCAGUAAAUGGACGCCUGUGUCAGAUUAACAAGGUUUUCUUGAAGCAUUUACCAGCUCCUUAGUACAGGUUAUAAAAGGCUUAUGGAAGUUAUAUUUUAUAAUCAAGAUUACAUUUUAUAGAUUGUUUAGAAAAUUUUUAAAAACAAAUGUAAUUGGCUUCAUGCUGUUUUUAUUAGGGCUUCUUGUUUAGAAAAUUAAGUCUCCUGUCUCAAAGGAUGAAGGUUUUCACUUAAAAAAAAUCCUUGAAUU